UUAUGGCCAUAUCAUGUUGAAACAACAGUUCUUAUAUGAUCACUGAAAUUAAGCAAUGUUGAGCCUGAUCAGUACCUAGAUGGGUAACCACUUAGGAAUACCAGGUGCUGUAAG
rnacentral:rRNA from 1 species